GACUCGUUAGCACAGUAGGUAGUGUGUCAGUUUCAUAAUCUAAAGGUUGUGAGUUUGAUUCUCACAAGGGGUA
rnacentral:tRNA from 1 species